AUUGAACGCUGGCGGCAUGCUUUACACACGCAAGUCGAACGGCAGCACGGGGGCAACCCUGGUGGCGAGUGGCGAACGGGUGAGUAACACAUCGGAACGUGUCCAGUUGUGGGGGAUAACCCAUCGAAAGGUGGGCUAAUACCGCAUGAGCUGGCAACAGGAAAGCGGGGACCCGCAAGGCCUUGUGCGAUUGGAGCGGCCGAUGUCCGAUUAGCUAGUUGGUGGGGUAAAGGCCUACCAAGGCUUCGAUCGGUAGCUGGUCUGAGAGGAUGAUCAGCCACACUGGGACUGAGACACGGCCCAGACUCCUACGGGAGGCAGCAGUGGGGAAUUUUGGACAAUGGGGGCAACCCUGAUCCAGCCAUGCCGCGUGAGUGAAGAAGGCCUGG
rnacentral:rRNA from 1 species